GACAGAGAGAGACAGAGCAUGAACGGGGGAGGGGCAGAGAGAGGGGGAGACACAGAAUCGGAAACAGGGCUCCAGGCUCAGAGCUGUCAACACACAACCCGAUGCGGGGCCGAACUCAAGAACGGCGAGAUCAUGACCUGAGCCGAAGUCGGACGUUCAACUGACGGAGCCACCCAGGCACCCCUA